UACAAAUGUAUAACGAAGACGAGCUUCUCAAAAUUUUCUUUUAAUAUUUCUAGUCUCACCGGAAUAUGGAUUGUUAAGAUUUAGGAUGAAUCUCGAUCAUGACCUGCAUCCCAGAUGAUCAAUCAUCAAUAUAAUUGCAAAAAUUAGCGUUCAACAGAUAAAGCUUCAAGGAAAACAAGAAUUUGCCAUUUUAGGCACAACAACAAUUCCAUCAUAAAAAGGUAAUAUUUCGAGAAAUUAAAGUGCAAUUUUGUCAUUUCAUAAUGACCAAGUUUUUCUAUACCUGGCUUUUAUAUAGUCCACAGGUUACCCAAAGGCAUAUAAAUAAAAGACUUCACAGCCUGCAUUAGAGAACAAGCUCCAUUCCACCUGCUUCAUCUAUUGGGCACUAGUUCUUCAGCUAUUUCUCAUCAUAAGAAUCAUGGGUACUCAAAAUCCCAGGGUCCCAUUUCUGUUCAUCAUGGUCAUGCUCACCUUCACUCAGCUCUCAAAUUGCCGCGAUAUGAAGAGAGUUACAAUUGAAGGAACAGAGAUGGAAUUUAAACCAGAACCAGAAUUCCGUUCCCCGUUUUCAAUGCAUUUUCCUGCAGCAGUUCCCAUUGAAGCCAAAAAUGAUGGCGUCGAACCAAUUUAUGGUAUGUCAGACCGGACUGUUCCAGGUGGACCAGACCCACUUCACAAUUGAUUAGCUUCUUCAAAAAUAUGAUAUGUCUUCAAAUAUACAAAAUUUUGCAGUUUACAGGUGUGAAUGUGUGAUAUUAAUGUUCUUUCCAUAUAUUUGUUUAAUUUGCUCCCAGAGAUAUAUUAUAUAUCUCAUAUAUAAUAUAUCUCUGCCCGGGUUUACAAGUGUAAUAUAUAUCAUAUAUAUUACAUACAAGUGAAAUAUUGAUAACUUCUACAAUUUUUGAAGAUUUGUUAUUCUACUAGAAUGAAUCAAGCAAACACCUUUUAUUUUCUUCUUUUAUUUAUUUGAUUAGUAUGAAUUAAAAAAGGAUAUCUAAUGUGUAAAACUUGAAAGUAUACAAGAAGAGUGUAGCAAUAGUGCCAUAGUUUUUCCUUUCCGACUAGGCCCACAAUCGAUCAGGAUAAAUCGGUUGUCAAAGAGCUACAUCCUAUUGCUUUCUGAAUGAUGGAUUAUAGAAUUUUCUAAUUAUACACAAGUAUCUACAGGAAUAGUAUAAGAAAUAAAAAGUUGAACUUGGUGAAAAGGAAGUUAUUCGUGGCAAAGUACACAACAAACUGAAGUACAAAUAAAACAACUAGAGUUGUUACAAAGAAAUCAAAGAGUAAAUUAAUUAAUCAGUAAAAUAAAUACUAUGACAAUUAAUGAAGAGUUUAGUACUCCAUAUUAUUUUAGUAAUACUGGGGCAUAUUCAUACUCUCUUGAUGUUUAACAAAAAGAAAAAGAAAAGAAAAGUCAAAGGAUUUUAGAAACAGUACUAAGGCAUACAUAUGUAUAUAUUUUCUUACGCUGGAUGGUCCAAUGUUGCUUUCGAAAUACACUGACUGACAAUGAAAUUUAAAAAGAUUGAUAUGUAUUUAAAUCAAGCCUUAUUAAUUAUAACGAUUUUUUUCCUACUUCAGAUAGCUAUGCUAGAAGACCAAUUUUAGCAAAGGACAAGGUGAGGUAGUCAUCCUUAUAUGUGCCAUGCAUAAGCAAACAGAUCAGCGUUGUCACUCAGUGGGUCCACCGAGAAGACUGAUGGAAUUGGGAUGAUAUAAUGAUUUUGCUGAGUAGGUUUAAUAGAGAAGGUAGAGAUUUCUUCAUGUGUGGUAUUCCAUUUCCUAUAUCCUCAUUUUGAAGAUCUACUUAUCCAAACUCCCAAGUAGUUUUGUACUUUCAGGUUGAAUUAGAGUUUCUUAUAUUGUAUUUAUAUAUGGAGGGGAUCUAACAAUUGUAAGAUGUACGAAAUUUCCACAAGAUAGUGAAACUGAUCAACCGCCGACUGUGGAGUGAACCACGUAAAUUUUGUUUCUUGUGUGAUUAUUUUCUUUCGAUUUUCUCUUUACUAUUGUUUUCGCUGCGUUGUUAUUCUCUAACAUCUUUAUGUUCCAGAACUCUAAAUUUAGGUAUAUUUCUUUGUUUUCUACAUCUAAUUGCACAAAUAUCAAUAUUUAGUUCGAUGCAACCCAUCAAUUUCUUUGUUUUCAUAUCUAAUUGCAAAAAGUAUUGGAUGCUCCAACAUCGUAUUUUUACUAAAUUAUUUCUAAAACAAUAAACUUGCUGAUGUAACUAAAAACCUUAUUUGAAAUUUAGCUCUAUUGCAUCUAGAUUUUAAGUGAUUUUCUUAUUAUAAGCAUCCAUAUAAAGCUAACUUUAGCAUACCACGUCCUAUCCUGUGUAGCUUAAGCGAGUUCUCGCAUUUGUUCCACAAACUGAAAAUAAUUGGGAUUCCAGGGAACACUUAUUCAAACUGUGUUGCUUUUCCUAUAAGAUCUCCUAUCAACUACUUUGUCCACACGGAAACACAAAAUAUAUACAUGCCAUUGACUUAAUUAAGGGGAAAUACUAUUUGACUAGAUCUCAUGAUUGUACACGGACCUGGACAUUUUUCAUUUCAUGUGUAGAUCACUAGAUGUCAAUUCUAUAGAUCAAAACAGCGAAACAAGCCAGAAUACUUUCCAAGUAUGACUCUGUUCAGAGAAAUAGAGAUUUUAAAUUAUACUGCUUAUCUCAGACUCUCAGUGGCAGAGAAAAUAAGCUAAAAUCUAGCUACAGAGUUAAUAAGAAAUGUAUGAAUGAUGUAUUACCUGCUUGUUUGUCCCUAAAAUGCGGACCAUCUCAAAGCAAGUAUGCUUUUGCUCUACACAUCCCUGCAGUAGAUUCACAUAAGAAUAAGAUGUUUGAAUCAUUUGCAAAUACCCCAACUUAAAGGAACAGAAAACAUACCAUGAAGUUCAGUAUUAAAUGACCUUCUUGAUCCACAGAUAAAUUAAUGGAAAGGACUUUCUGCAUGACACGCUGAAAUUUAGACCUCCACAUCUGUUAUUCAAAAUCCAGAAAGAAAGAAAGGAGCCAGGAAAGUUAGUCAGAAGACUCAGAACAACUACUGUUAAGAUUGAAAGAAGAAUGAAAUCGAUAAGAUAUCAAAAACUUCUAUCAGAUUUUAGCUCCAAAACACGUCAACAUUUUCAAAAUUUCUUGAGUCAAACUACUUGCCGCUUUUCAAAUAUUAGACUUUUAGUAUUUCGAGUAACUUCAGAUUGAGUAGACUAUAACUAGGAAAGGAGCAAAUGUCAAGAUAGAGUUUGAAACUUGCACGGGAAUGUUAAUCUAUCUGAUGAUUUUUGAAAAGAAAAAAAAAUAUAUCUGAACCCCAAUAACUAAUCCAUCUAGAGUUCAAUUUUUAGUAACGUGACAUCCUUAGUCAUGUUAAAUAUGCAUGCAGGUAAUAUAGAAGUAAAAUCAGAAGUUAUGCACCUGUCUAUAUGUACAGACUUGCCUAAGUUCAGAAAGAGUUUAGAAGCUCAAACAUUUUAAACUAGUUAGUCAUUUAAUAAGACUCCUGAAUAAUGGGGCUAAUUUAAAAGGUUGGGCUCCUUAAAUCCUUGUAAUCUGAACCACCCAUGAAGAUCUUGAAGGCAUCAGCUGUAAAAAUAUCACCAAAUAACAAUCAUAAGAAAGGAAACAAUUAAUUUCAGGAUACAUACAGUGUUACCCAAAACGUUCAUUUCGUUACAUGAUACGAAUGCGGGUACGCGGUACGCUAGGGCAUCUUUAUGUAAGUUAUUAUAAUUAGAAAUUCUCUUAAAAUCUAAAUGUAAUAAGCCUAUGUUUUGCAUAAAAUAUUUAGUUGAAUCAACAAGUUAAUUGUUUUAUAAAUAAUUUCAUUUCAAUGUUUGACCAUCUAAUGCUAAGUUAUAAUAUGGAUAUUUGUGUAAUUUUAGGUAAAACAACAAAAAAAAAUUCCGGUAUGUUAAAUUUAGAGUAUUGGUUCGAAAGAGUACCAUGUUUUGGUAUGCAAAUACCAAUACGCGAUUUUCUAGGUCAAUGAGAGAAGAAAGCUCGCAUGACCGAAAUCGUAUGAUUACCACAUGAGUAAAUUCCUUACUAACAACGUUGAAAUUUGAACCUGAAAAUGGACAUGAUAAUAGCAUGAUUGCAUGAGUGAAAAAUAACAGUGAGAAUGAUAUAACAUCGCCACUGCUUGUGUAUAAUUACUCUCCUCUAUAUUAAAAGAAAAAUAAAACAAAAACAAACGCGCACACACAUAAGAGAAAUAGAAGAAAAACUAACAGCAAUCCUUCUGUACUGCUACUGGAUUCACCAUUAGCUAUUCAAGACAAAAACAUAAUACAAACUAAUUAAUUCGAAAUGUCAAUGUUUAGACAAAUUUUGCCUUUGAAAAUGAUGUGAAUUUGCAGAUUAUAGGGUUUGGUCCUCAUAAAUUUUAAGCCCUAAAAAAGCUAUUAUUGAACACCAAAACACAAAUUGGAACGAAUCUAAGCCUGAUUUCAACCCAUACAACAAGAAAAUCCAUAUACAAAGUUCUAAUUUUGUUACCUUGGUCUAAAAUUGAUGAAUCGACGAGGAGGGCUCAUAUCUCUUCGGUUGGUUUGUCUCGCGAAAUGGCUGCAAGGUGAGUAGGAGGAGAGAGAAGGCAGAGAUUCGUCGCGACGAGAGAGGGAGAAGGGGCCGAAAGCCUACUCGCGUCUGUUUGCCUCUGCUUCCGAUGAGCUCUUCCGUCUGCUCCUUUGGAAGUGUGAGAGAGGGAGGGAAGGAGAUGGAGGGAAGGAGAUGGAAGAUGGAGAGAGAAUCGGGGAAACAAAUUUACAGAAAAAAGUGUGAGAGAAGAAUCUGUAUGCUUGGAAGUGUGAGAGACCUAAUUUGUUUAUGACCCGCGCGUUUUUUUUU
rnacentral:lncRNA from 1 species